rnacentral:piRNA from 1 species
UAGUAAUGCCUGAGAGAGCUGUGACUUU